GGCAAGUCCAGAGGAGCUGACCCAGGGACAAAGUUACCUGCAGUAGUGGACAAGUGUACUCGGGGCACCCUCUUCCAACCCUUCCGUUUGUCCCUUACCUUGGUUGGAGACGUGACUGCAGUCGCCGGUCCAAGCCGUUAGCAGGGGCAAGAAGAAACCAAAUUGCAAAAGAAAUUCCCGGACUUCGCAGCCCCCCAUGGCUCUGAGCUAUAUUGUUCAGAAUUCUUUUGUAUUCCUUCAGAACAUUGUUCUUCAAGAUAUAUGGGAUCGGGUUUCAGUUAAAGUACAAGAAAACAUGUAGAGGCUCAGAAGUACUAAACAGAACCCUGGUGACAAAAAUUCUGAAAUAUUUUCAUAGAAGAAAUUUGGGACAAGCUCCUGCUUCUGAGAUAAAUCUCGAGUUCACUCUUCUUUGUCUAAUGCAUUAUGGACUUGGAUUAAUUAGAACAAAUAUGAUUUGCAUUGCCGAUCUCUAAAUACCUAA
rnacentral:lncRNA from 1 species